UCUGCCCUGGUGAGUGUCCUCACCAAGGAGUAUGAGGACGCCGUCAGCAUCGCCACGGCAGUGCUUGUCGUGGUCACUGUCGCCUUCAUCCAGGUGAGUAUUUCCUGAGGUCCCAGUCAGGGUAAGCUGGGCGGGACAGGAGCUUCAUGGAGUCCCCACCUUUAAACAGCACAUCUGAUGUGCUUCCUGCCAGGAGUACAGGUCGGAGAAAUCUCUGGAAGAGCUGACCAAGCUGGUUCCUCCAGAAUGUAACUGGUAAGUCAGAGCCUCCCUGGGACUUUUUGGUUCACUGGAGGAGCCAGGGAGCUGGAGAGUUUGGCAAAUGUUUGCUGAAAGUUGUAUCCUUGGUAGUGUCGGACAAGAGAACCACAUCUCACUGGGAGUUCUAAGGCCUGGU
rnacentral:lncRNA from 10 species